CACAGUCUCUCAAGAGCAAUACAUUUAAUACAUUCAUAAGAUUUCAAAUGAGCCCAUACAUGCUACAGGUUUUCGAUUUUCUUUGGACAACACAAAAACAGUACUCAAAUUGCAAGUUUCAGGAACAUUUUGACACAACGGCAGGUUAAAAAAACAAUAAAACCAACAUUGAACUAAUCCAGCACCGAGAGACUUCCUUAAAUCUCUCAUACUAUCCUACUUUUUUAAUCGUAUGGCUGCCUUCUAUACCAGCAUAUUUUCUUCUCUACCCAACAAUUCAACAACAAAAAUUAGAAAAAAAAUUAGAGGUGUGUCACUGAAUGAAUAACACAACAGAUUAAAAAACAAAAGCCCCUUAUUUGUUGAAUGUUGAAAGAGGAGAAUAUGAUUAGGUGGAAAAACUGUAAGGCAUUUGAUUCAUUCACUCCACUCUGAUAUCAGAGCACAGGAAAUGCGCUCAAAAGUUAGCAGAAGGAUUUAAUAAGGAUGGCAAGAAAUAGUCCCACAUUAUUUAUAAAAGGAAGGCUGCACUCAUGAGUAU
rnacentral:lncRNA from 1 species